rnacentral:lncRNA from 1 species
UUAUUUCCAUAAAUUUUACUUUAUUAAAGACUUUUUGAAAUUUUCUAAAAAUUUAAAAAUGUAUUUCAUCAAUAUUUUACCACUAACCAUCCCACUGUGGCAAAUAGUUAAAAGUUGGGUGGUGCUGGGUUGACUCAGCUUUACGACAACAAUACACUUGUUCAUUAAAUGGAAAAGAAGAAGAAAUAAUGAAAAUAACAACACACACUCUCUUUAAGCACUCAAAUGCAAAAUUAUUUUACUUGCUCUUUUCAAUUUCAAAGAGAUAUUAGGAGAGUUAGUGAAAGUAUAGAUGCCAGAUUUUGGGGACAUGAAAUUUGUAAAGGGAAAAUGUAAUAAAAAGACAAACGAUAUACACAAAAUUACUUAUAAAGUAAAAUCGAUCUAGUCGAUCAAAACAAAUAAAACUAAAUUUUUUAAAAAAAUAUUUUGUAUUAUAAUUAUGUCCAAAUGUGCACUGUUUGGGCCCAUGGGAUUAUGGACGUAGGAAUUUCGACGAGUUAAGAGCAUUUGGACAGGCUAGUGAAACUUUUGAUAAAUUUAAAUACCAUGACAAAACUGAUUUUCUCAACAUCGGACGAUUAUAUCUGAAAAGAGUACUAUAUAAGAUUUUACUCACUCAUAUUUCCAAUGUAACACAGAUGGUCUAUAAUAGCCUACUUGUAUUUCUCCUUUCGAGCUAUCCUUACAUUUUCAAGGAUAAAUGCACCUUUCCCUACCCCAAGGAAAUUAAUAAUUUAUUUGCUUCGGUUUCUUUUUAGGGGGAAAUUUGGAUUAUCUCUCAUUUAUUUCGGUGUUAAAAACCCUUUAAAAUGGACCAUUUAUAUUUAAUAUCAAUAUAUUCCAAUUCUUUAUUUUGUUCAUCUAAUGUUCUUAUUUCUUUUUAUUUGGAUCUUUAUUUACUUUGAAGGGAAUCACAAUGGACCUUAUAGUCUCCGAAUCGACUAUCUCUCCUAAAAACUUAUAUUUGAUGUCAUUGAGUUGUUAGAUGUUUAGUAAUAAUGAAUAGUCUGAAUUAACUUAUCUUAUGAACAAACUCAAUAUUGCUAUUUGAUUAUUCUAAUAUAAGAUCUUUUUAUCAGUUUUUUGUUUUAUCUCAUUGUUCAGAUGUUAUCAACUUUGCUAUAUCAAGUCGUCUUAAAUAAUAAUACAAAACUUGUUUAAAAUCAUGGAUAUAAGUUGUCUUGUAUAGACGAUUCGUUUUGUGCCCGUUUGGGCCGUAUUGAUUCUCGAAAGCGUUGUUCUAUGGAACUUUGAAAAAUAAGGUGUUCUUUUGAAAUUAAAGAUAUUGUAUCUGAUGCCAUUUAAGUUUAGCCCUAGUCAUGGACUCUACAGAUGACUAAUUAUUUUAACGUAAGCUUGUCCUACGAAGAAGUCAAUCGUCAGUCCAUAUAUUAGACUUAUGUUUGUUUUUCAAAUGACCAUGUCUUACAAAUGGGGGCACUAAAGUGACUAUCAUCUUCGCCCUCUUUUACAAUAAAUACAUUCCUGUCAAAAGACGAAAUAGAGCCAACCAGAUGGACAUAAAUGGAAAUCAUUGCCUUUUGGAUCGGAAAACUUGAAUUUUUAACACGUUCAAAAAUGUUCUAUCACUUUUUGAUUAAAACGAAAAUUUAUGAAGAAUUUUACUUGAAUAUGAUUACCUAGGAAAAUCUUACAUUGAAAAGUUAUUGGAGGCAAGUACUACUAUACUCUCUUACAAAUAGGUUGUUAAAGAAGUAUAUUUUGAUUACUAAGAAGAUGAUAAAUAAGUUAUUUUGUGUUUAAUAAUAAAAAGAAGCCAGUAGUCAAUGAAAAGUAAGUGGUUAUGCAAGUACAACCCAUUACCGAGUUUUUGCUGGGUAUUUCAAUGAGUAUCGCAUUUGUUUAUAUGGUGGAACACUACAUUUGGAGUCCAAUUUUCCAAAUCAGCUGGUAAUCAAUGCUUUUUUAAGAUUUAAAAAAUAACCAGACCUAAACACCAUAUAACAAAGAAAUUUUGGGUGUGACAUAAAUUAAAUUCAUUACUUUUUUGAAUUUUGGAGAUUUUUGGGUAAUUUUUUUUUCAAUUAAGGCUUAUAAUAAGUAUACGGCAACACUAAAAUAAAAGAGAACGAAAGGAAUAGAUAAAGAAAGUAGAAUUAAACUUAAUAUAAGCUAACAUAUGGAUUAAUUAAUAAACAACUAAAAUGAAAUUGAAUUGAAAUUGAAAGAAAUUAAAAGUGCAAUAAUAAAAGUAAAGAAGAAAUUAAAACAAUUAAUAUUAAUUGAAAAAAGCGAUAUAAAAAGAAAUGCAAACAAUAUUUUUUAUAAACAGAGAGUUCUCUUGUGAUUAUUUUGGUGUGUCUCUCUUGCGAUAACAGUUCGGUUUUUUUUUCAUUCUUUCUUGUUGUAACUGUAAAAAUAUGCCGUUCGAAAAUAGAGAAUGCGCAUUAGUAGUAAGUAGGGGAGUAAAAAAAAGAGCAUAUUUGAGUGAUUAAAUGAGUGAGCAAAAGUGAGAAUUGUUUGUUGUUGCUGCAGCUAAGCGUAGAGUGUGGAGCAAAAGAUAACAACCGGCUGUUUAUGUUUGAGUUUUGAGGAGACUUUGGCAAAAAUAAUUUCAGUCUUUACUGAAUUGAACUACAAGUAGGGUUGUUGUUUAAGAACAAAAAAAAAACAAACAAAAGUGUUGCUCGAAAGUUUUAAUACAAAGAAGAAAAAAAUCCACAAAA